GCCGGGGUAGCUCAGGUGGUUAGAGCGGGCGUUUCAUAAGCGCCAGGUCGGCAGUUCAAGUCUGCCCCCCGGCACCC
rnacentral:tRNA from 2 species